CUGGGUUAAGCGUUACGGCAGCGUACUCCCCUCGGACGGGAGAGGCGGGGGUUCAAUUCCCUCAACCCAGACCA
rnacentral:tRNA from 1 species